GGUUUCACCAUAAAGUUCGGUGACUUCUUACACGGUCGUAACAUCGUUCCUUUGUUUGAUUGUUUCAGUGACACUAGUAGCAGCAGGAAACCUUUCUCCUCUCUGUUUAUUGUGUAAAAGCUAAAUAUUGGCUGCGACGCAUCAGGGGAGAGGCUGGUGGUUGGUAGAGAACGGACGUGCAGCGGCCGCUUUAUUAGGAACCCAAGGAAUGACUGAGGCCCAUGAGAGGACGGCGCUGAUACGAGGUGCUUUUGUUUUGGCCACUGAGAAACUCAGCGAAUCCUGAGGAGCUGAAACACAAAGUAGGUUCAUCAUUUAGACCAGGAUGAAGACGAACAGCAGGUUGUUAAGAGCCUCGCGUCACUGUCAUCAGUCCGCUCAGGGUCUCAUCCUGGCACUCCUGGACUUCAUUACCCAGCAUUCAUAGCUGCCCAGUCCAGUAUGGCUUCAAACGAUGCUGCUACUGCCAGGAUGUAGAUGUGCAGCGUAUAUGACAGCUGAUGUCGGCGCUCGUUACCAUUACAGACUCCUAAUAAAUGCUUACUGAGCUGUCAACACGCGGCAGCAGCUCUGGGAGCGCAGCGGUGGCAUCUGGCUUCACUGUGGACGCGUGUUCCUGCAGCAGCCACGUUCGUUUACCUGAACGAGCUCGUCCAAGCUCGCUCAUGGGGCGUUUAUGAACAGAACCCAGAUGCUGGUCUGGGCCUGACCCUGAACCAGAGCAUGUAUGGUGCUUCGCUCCAGCUCUGCUUGUUGAUUUGUGGACUAAACCUUUCAUCGUUCCAGUUUUCUGACUCCUGUUCAUGUUUUUUUAUGACGGUCUCUCAGACUUUCCCUGAGCCUUAGAGACACUUUAUCCAUGUCAAACUCAAACAAAUGAGCGUUGGAAGCUUUGCAAACACCUGGUGAAAGUGUUUCACUGACCGAUGCGGAUCUGAUCCAGUCGUGCAUCAGCCGCCGACUAUGGGAGCAGACGGACAAGGUGCUUGUAGCUGAAAGGCUGCCUUAUUCAGUCACUUUAUGACAGAACCAAGCUCCCAUUGGACCACAGGCCUCGUGCCGAGUGCAUGGAUGUGCUGCUCUCACAUUUACAAAGCAAACUUGUGAAAUAGGAACGUGGUAAAUUUGUUUGGAUGUGCUGCGUUUCUGGAACAAUCUGUUCACACUGUCACACGACGGGGUCUCGCUGCUGGUGCAGCAGUGCAGCUCCUACAAAUGGGAUCAUUUGUUUUCACCACUUUAUGUGGGAAUCAAACUCGAUGUGAGGAGUCACAGCUUCGUGGGUUUGAGGAAGGUUUGUGAACAUCAUCUCACCUCAGAACUGUAAACAAAUGAUGCGUUGGACUCUUGUUGUCAUGGCAACGCGAAGCCCCACUGCCUACGUCACACAGGGGAUGUUGUUGUAACUGGAGGUGAAUUAAUCAGUGUGCCAGUGUGUUGUGGAAGUGUCUCAACGUGACUUCAAAGAUGAACUUUAAAGCAGACAAAUAAAAAAGACCUAAUCACCACAUAGGAAAACUACAGCGAGCCGCCUUUCAAGCGGAGCAGAUGGGACCUUCCUGCUGCUGCUCAGGGCCAAAACAUUUCUCUUUAGCGACUUUGUAAAUUGUUGUAAACAGCUCAAAAAACAGGAUCGGAGCUUCGUGACUAAUUGCAUCCUCUGAUCUCGCUCCUGCUCUUAAUCCAGCCCAGAACCAGACGCCAACCUUUAACUAAUGACUGGACUGUAACUUAAUGAGAGCGAGGAGAAAUUGAAUUUGAGCGAGCGUCUGGAAGCUUCUCAGCUGUUAAAUGGUUUAGCGCCAUAAAAACUGGAAUUACAGCAGACGUUCACAGCGAAGCCUCGUUCCCAACUUAUUUGUGAGGCACUGGCCGGCUGACGUUUACGGCCUCCUGCUCCGGCUGCCGUCGGUGACAGUUGAGUGCAAAGGCAACCAGCAGCGUCUCAGGGUCAGACUCAAGGUCACAGUCGCUGUGAAAUACAAGUCAGAUAAAAUAGCUCCUUUCGAAAGCCUGACUGUGUUUCUAGUACUUUAGAAGUCAUAAAAGCACAAAUGUAGCAGCAGCACGUUGUGUUUGCAUCAGUGACUCCAUUAGGGAGGCCUGAGUGCCGGGUACGGAGGAUGUCCUCCACAGGGUCCCUCACCAGAUGGGGACCGA